UAACUGUGAUUUAUUAUUUUUACUGAAUAGAAAAUGCGCGUUCGAACCAAUAAAUAGAAGAAAUAAUCUUGUGGAAACUGUACACAGGGCACAGGAGUGUGGUAUGCUGGUAUGGACACAGUUGCGAGGGCUGCUUUUAUAUAUCAGCCACAUGAAGGGCUGCAACAUAAAAGGUGAAUGCUUCAUGUAGCAUCUUACGAUUACCAAAUGGUGGAUCAUCACCAAAGGCGUUGAAGUGACAGAGAAGUUUAUCAUCUAUGAUAACAUUACGUGCAAUGACAAAAUAACUACAUGUGCCACAGAUUUCAAGAGAAAUUUAAAGAAGCUGCUGAAGCAGGUUUUUUCAUUGUGCCUGCAAUCACGAGGUGGUCUACCACUGCAGUCCAUGUUACUAUGAAAAGGUUCUCACAAUCACUUCACUAAUUUCACUAGCAACAAAUAUUCAACCAAAAACAAAGUACUUUUCCCAGGGAAGAUGAAAACAACAGCGUUCACUUUCUGACUCUUCAAAUGGUUCACACUUGGCGAAAAUUGAAGGCAUUGACAAAAUAGUUGUCAAUGCCUUGUUAAAUAGUUGUUAAAUGUUUAUGUUGAAAUUAACUUGGUAAAGUGAUAGACUUUUACUAAUAAAUA